rnacentral:rRNA from 1 species
UAAGUAAGUGGUGGAAAUUAAACCAAAUGGGAUAUCUUUAGUAAUUGCGAAUGAACAAGGAUAUGCUUAGCUUGACAAAUGGAGCUAUUGGCUUUGAAUUGUAUUGUGGAAAUGUAUUACCAACAGAGGUGCAGGUGCCAGCCUAUUGAAAUAAAGCGUCAAUGAGGGUGAGAAUCCUGUUUGUCAUGUGCAGCCCUUUGUGCACGGUGUAUAUUUGCUGAGUCACACUCCUUGGCAUUGGAAUGCAAAGUGGGUGGUAAGUUUCAUGUAAAGGUAAACAUGCAAUUGAGACUGAUAGCACACAAGUACCAUGAGGGAAAUAUGAAAAGGACUUUGAAAAGAGAAUUAAAUGAGUUUGUAUUUGCUGAACACAAAGUAAACAGACUUGAUUUGCUUGGUGGGAGUGUUGCACUUGCUUGACAAGAGCUUUGGGCUGUGGGUGUAAUGAUUCUUUCUUUGCAUGCCAGUUUCUAUUUGUACAUCUGAUUACCUUUGCACAUGAAUGAUAAGUCUCCUGUGGGGGGUGGAUUGCAUGUGCAUGUAAUGAUUUGUGUUUUGAUAAAUGUGUCUGGUGUAUGUGUGUGUUCCUGUGCUUGGGGAUGCUUCCUUCCUCGGACUUACAAGCCCUGACACACACAUGCCGGCAAAAUGCUUCUGCUUGACCCG